AUUGAACGCUGGCGGCAGGCCUAACACAUGCAAGUCGAGCGGAGCGGCGGACGGGUGAGGAAUGCCUAGGAAUCUGCCUGGUAGUGGGGGAUAACGUCCGGAAACGGGCGCUAAUACCGCAUACUAGCAGAUUAGCCUGGGUCGGAUUCGCUCGUUGGUGGGGUAAAGGCAUACCAAGGCGACGAUCCGGAACUGGUCUGAGAGGAUGAUCAGUCACACUGGAACUGAGACACGGCCCAGACUCCGUCGGGAGGCAGCAGUGGGGAAUAUUGGACAAUGGGCGAAAGCCUGAUCCAGCCAUGCCGCGUGUGUGAAGAAGGCCUUAGGAUUGUAAAGCACUUUAAGUUGGGAGGCGUUACCAACAGAAUAAGCACCGGCUAACUUCGUGCCAGCAGCCGCGGUAAUUC
rnacentral:rRNA from 1 species